GGCCAAGUUUUUAAGGGCGCACGGUGGAUGCCUUGGCACCAGGAACCGAUGAAGGACGUGGGAGGCCACGAUAGUCCCCGGGGAGCUGUCAACCAAGCUUUGAUCCGGGGGUUUCCGAAUGGGGAAACCCGGCAGUCGUCAUGGGCUGUCACCCGCUGCUGAACACAUAGGCAGUGUGGAGGGAACGAGGGGAAGUGAAACAUCUCAGUACCCUCAGGAAGAGAAAACAACCGUGAUUCCGGGAGUAGUGGCGAGCGAAACUGGAUGAGGCCAAACCGUAUGCGUGUGAUACCCGGCAGGGGUUGCGCAUGCGGGGUUGUGGGAUCUCUCUUUCACAGUCUGCCGGCUGUGAGACGAGUCAGAAACCGUUGAUGUAGGCGAAGGACAUGCGAAAGGUCCGGCGUAGAGGGUAAGACCCCCGUAGCUGAAACAUCAGCGGCUUGUUUGAGAGACACCCAAGUAGCACGGGGCCCGAGAAAUCCCGUGUGAAUCUGGCGGGACCACCCGCUAAGCCUAAAUAUUCCCUGGUGACCGAUAGCGGAUAGUACCGUGAGGGAAUGGUGAAAAGUACCGCGGGAGCGGAGUGAAAUAGUACCUGAAACCGUGUGCCUACAAGCCGUGGGAGCGUCGCGCAUCGAGCUUGCUCGGUGCGUCGUGACUGCGUGCCUUUUGAAGAAUGAGCCUGCGAGUUAGCGGUGUGUAGCGAGGUUAACCCGUGUGGGGAAGCCGUAGCGAAAGCGAGUCCGAACAGGGCGUUUGAGUUGCACGCUCUAGACCCGAAGCGGAGUGAUCUAGCCAUGGGCAGGUUGAAGCGGAGGUAAGACUUCGUGGAGGACCGAACCCACCAGGGUUGAAAACCUGGGGGAUGACCUGUGGUUAGGGGUGAAAGGCCAAUCAAACUCCGUGAUAGCUGGUUCUCCCCGAAAUGCAUUUAGGUGCAGCGUCGUGUGUUUCUUGCCGGAGGUAGAGCACUGGAUAGGCGAUGGGCCCUACCGGGUUACUGACCUUAGCCAAACUCCGAAUGCCGGUAAGUGAGAGCGCGGCAGUGAGACUGUGGGGGAUAAGCUCCAUGGUCGAGAGGGAAACAGCCCAGAGCAUCGACUAAGGCCCCUAAGCGUACGCUAAGUGGGAAAGGAUGUGGAGUCGCAGAGACAACCAGGAGGUUGGCUUAGAAGCAGCCACCCUUGAAAGAGUGCGUAAUAGCUCACUGGUCAAGUGAUUCCGCGCCGACAAUGUAGCGGGGCUCAAGCGUACCGCCGAAGUCGUGUCA
rnacentral:ncRNA from 1 species